rnacentral:rRNA from 1 species
UACAGAGGGUGCAAGCGUUAUCCGGAAUUAUUGGGCGUAAAGAGCUCGUAGGCGGUUUGUCGCGUCGAAUGUGAAAACCCGGGGCUCAACCCCGGGCCUGCAUUCGAUACGGGCAGACUAGAGUUCGGUAGGGGAGUCUGGAAUUCCUGGUGUAGCGGUGAAAUGCGCAGAUAUCAGGAGGAACACCGGUGGCGAAGGCGGGACUCUGGGCCGAUACUGACGCUGAGGAGCGAAAGCGUGGGGAGCAAACGGG